rnacentral:lncRNA from 1 species
UUGCCCCUUUCGGGUAAGGUAGUCCUCCACUAGCUUUCCUAAUUAAUCAGCCAAGGGCGUCCAUAAACCCUUGUGGUAGCACUGUUUUCCCGGUGGUCGCUCCAUGUUCCAAUUAACAUAAUGAUCUUAUCAUGGACAGUGAUAAUAAACAGAUAAUAAAAGUGUGAUCAUGAAUAAUGUAUCUUCAUACCCAAAACCAUAUAAAGCACUAGCAAGUACUACCCAAAAAGUUCAGUGGUAAACAAGGUAUAAAGAUAGACAAACUAGGGUAACCUAUUGGGUCCCAUCAAAAUUAACCUAUGCAGAUCAUUAUGAUUAAUCAGAACAUGGCUGGGUAAAAAGAAGUGAUCAAGGGCACAACUUGCCUGGCACUUGAGAUUCUAGUUACCAGGGUGAUUCUUCAAAUCCUCGUGACCGCACUGCUAGUCGUAGCAAUACAAACAGAUAUGGUAUAGAAAAAAUUAACAUCACACCAAUCAUAAGUACAAACUGAAUAAUAAUGAUCUACGCGAUGAUACGAGAUCGUAGAUUCAAGAACCACUAGAUUCGGAGCUACGGUUAUAAAGUUAUGAUUUUCUAAAGGUUUAGGAGUCGGAUACAAAAGAAAUCAAGUGCAUAAUUUUAAUUUAUGUUUCAUAGCAAAAUAAAGUUACCGGUUAUAAACAAUAUUAUUAUGGAUUUAUUGCAACUGGAAUGCAUUAUGUUGGAGUUAAAAUAUAUUAAUUAUGCAUUUACUAAAAAAUUUUUCUAGAUUUAUUUUCACAUUUAAACCAUUUUCUAGGUUUAUCCUAAAAGAAUAUCACAUUCUUGGGCUGCGGGUAAAACUACAGAGAAGUUCAGGACUAAAUUAAUUAAAUCUAGGACCUAAAUGUAUUAAUCUUUACGCCCUACAUGGACAGCGGGUUAGUUUCGCUAUUUUUCAUGGACUCUUGGAAAACCGGCUUGCUGCUAAAAUCACGAGGAUAUUCCAAGCCGUCCGAUUCACAACCAGCGAUCUGGAUUAGAAGACCCACGUGCCGAACAGGUACACAACGCCUGCCUUUGGAUCAUAGAUCGAUGGUCCGAAAUCCAUCGUGAACUACUGUAUUACUAGCCAUCCGAUAUAAAUCCCACGGUGACUGCCCCGCCUUCGACCUCACCACCAACAGCACGCAAACAAAACUCGCACUCCUUCUCUAUCGUCUGCUAAACCUAGAGCGACGGCUGACUCAGCGGCAUCCUGCCCGGCUACGGUACCGCGCCAGCGCUCCAGGCCAUUAGCCUAUGCUCGAAAAGCAGAGGAAGAUAUCCCGCCAGAGGAGAUGCUCACCGCUGAUGAAGCGAACUGGUUGACGACGAUGCGUAGGCCCACGUCGAGGUGCAGGCACAACGGUCACAGCGAGCUCCGGCACCUGUGGCCACCACCGGUGGAGGGAAGAUCCACGCGCCAGAUGCCUGAUCUCGUGCUGGCGCAUGCGCAAGCAGUCUCCCUCGCAAAUUCCCUAGAAGGCGAGCGAUGCGUGGAACUCAGCUCCUACCCGGGCAUCCUUGCGGCAAUGGUGAGGGGCGGUUAUGGGGAGGAGUAGUUUUAUACCCAGAGCUGGGAUCCGAUCGGCUAGCGCCGAGCUGGCACAUGGGAAAGAUUUGUUCCAAGUUUGUUGCGAUGAAACUGGAAUGGAUAUCUACUGAGGCGGCGCUAGGAUCUCCUCUACGGUCGGCCAUACGGUUGCCAUACCAGAAGGGCCCAACUGCUAGUGAGUACGGGGUUUCACAACUGACCUCAUCCCUGACGCCACGAUGACGUCAGCACGACGGAAAUGAAUAAAGAAUGCGGUGUACGUGGGUGGUUCUGCGUGAGUGAGGUGACCGACGUGACUCUGGCUUAGACUACGGUUAUCGCUAAUUAUCAUUUAAAUAUUCCUAAGGUUUUAGCUUUUGAUUUAAAUUUUCUUUUCUAGUUUGGGUUCACGCCAUUUAAUGCAACAGUCAAAAAGUCUCGGCAUGUGCUACCCAUUUGAUUCAUAGUUUAUGUAAUUACUACUUAUUUUAAUUGAGUACGGAUCUUAUGGUUAUUCGUAGAAUAAAUGUCGAGUCACAUAACAAAUUACCCAACUUAUGAAUCUGCUACGCUCACAAAAUGAAAAUUACUCUUUUGAAUGUAUAGUACAUUUAAAGUUUGGUUCAUAUUUAUCCAAAGAGGGGACUGUGCAGUGUAUAAUUGUUACCAAGGUAUCUUUUUAACUUAAUUCUUUUGGGGAAAUAUUUCUAACCAUAUGAUUCAACAAAGGUGGGUUUUAAUCAUAUAGGAUCGUUUAUUUAAUCUCUUAUUAUAAAAGACUUUAUUCAAACCUGGGAAUACAAAUUCCUAAAUCUCAAUGUAGGAUUUUGGGCUUUACAAAUCCUACCCCCCUUAAAAAUAAUCUCGUCCUCGAGAUUUGUAAGAAAAGAGAUGCAGAAGGAUUGGUUUGUAAUUCAGCUUUUAGUCUAUCGUCAUUCCAAAAGUCGAGAGUCUCAAAAAAAUUCUUUGUGGGUGAUUAGAAGAGCAUAGGUAUAUGUAGGUAUAGCCACGUUAUUAUAUAGGCUAAAAGAGGGGUAGUUUAGAGCAAGAAUAGCCUCAGGUAAGAAAGUUUAUGGUGGGAAAGAACUCCGUGUUGAGUGGUAAGGCAUCUGAAGAUUGAGUUUGACUUCUCUCCUUCCUUGACGAGGUUGAUCUUGUCCUUUUUUUCUUGGUCUCAUUGAUUCGAGGUUAGUGUACAUCAUCAGAGUUACCGGAGUAUGGUUGAAGAUAGAUAUGGGUGAGAUGGACUACAUGAUGUAGGUUAAAGUUUGUUUGAUGUUAGGUGGGGAUAGACAGAUUAUGCAAUUCUUCAUGACUCUAUUGGUUGGGUAAGUUAUGUAACUUGUUAUAUAGGUCAAGUUGUUGUGUAUGGCCAAGUCGAUCUAAGUCACCAAUUUAGGCUUAAGUGAAUUAGGAGUAUGGCCAUAUCCUUUGUACUAGCAUUAAGUAACUUACUCUAGAUUAGAUCAUGAUAGAUUAGAUAGAAUCCAGAUUAGGUUGGUACAACUAGAUUAAACUAGUUAUGAUCUCAUUAUUUUGGAUUAGGUCCUGGUGGUUACUUUAGGAUCAGAUAAAUAUAGUGGUUAGGAUAAAACGAAUCUUUCAUGAUGAGAUGAAUUCAUUAAGAUAAGAGAGAAUCUUUUAAGAUAAGAUGGAUCUACUAAAAUAUGAUAGAUCUUUUUAAGAUGAGAUGGAUAUUGUUAGGCUAGAUACUUUAUUGAGGGAUAAUCUAGUUUGUCUAGUUAGUUUUAUAAGCAUUAUGUAUAUGCAGAUGUAAUUGUGGAUAUUACUCCACAACUCAUCACACUCAAUCAAAGAUCCAAAUCAGACAUGUAUCAUAAGAACAAAACAUUCAAAUUCAUAGAUAUCUAUAAAAAUAGUUUUAUUUUUGUUCCUAAGAGUAGGUCUCCUAUUCCAAAAAUUCACUUUAACCACAGGAUUCCAAAGUGUGAAAUCCAAGUUUGUCUUUAGAAGUGAAAAGGUAAGAAUAAUCAGAGUAAAGCGGAAAUAGAUGAGAAAAGAUUAAGAAAAGUUUAGAAAAGAAUCAGAGUAGCAAAGGUAAGUAGACAAUGGUUGUCCAGUUCUAUCUAGGUUUCGUCCUACAGUCAACAUUCCUCUGAUACCACUUCUGUCACACCCGGGUUUUAGGGCACCAAGACCCGGGCGCGAACAUAAUCACCAGGUGCGCUGGGACCAAGUCUCACACAUAUGAUGAAUCAUGGCACAGGAUCGAAUGUCACAUAUUUACUACAUAACAGGAGUUCUAUACAAAAUAAAUAAAUAAUUACAUUAUAAGGAGACAACGGUCCAGCAACCCAAAGUUGACUGGGAGACGACGACCUAGACCUCUCAUGAACUCGUCACAGCAUCCUCCAUGCGCCUCAUCUUGUGGUACCUGUUCUUGACCUGUGGGGGGGUGUGAGACAGCAAGAGUGAGCUCACAUACGUUCAUCGCUCAACAAGUUGUGGGGAAUAAUGUGCAUGAACUCGCCAAAGGUGGGAGCUCACGUGAAGUGUAAGGCUUACCAAAGAGGAUGGUUAGAGUUGAGCAUUGCUUUUAAAGUUGGUCAAAAUUUUAUUAGCAGUUACUAAGUAUAAGUAAAUACCAACCCAAUUAAGAAAAGUAAUAACAUCACCUGCGAUGCAAUGCAUAUGACAAAUUGAAUUUAGUUCCAUAAAUUAAUCAUGUGAGGGUCCGAGCUGCUCAUGACCGUGAGCACGGCUAGUAUACCAGUUUUACACUCUGCAGAGGUUGCACAUCUUUACCCACAAGUCAUGUUACCCAUCUGCCAAGGGAUCGCGACUUCCCAUACACCUCUACCGAGGAGGCGAGGCAGGGUAACACUACGAGGCCUUUACAAAGUUCCACUAGCUUUAGAAAACCCGCUACAGUUUAUAGGAAGCUCCAAUGCAGGGUUCUUGCCUGACCGCCAUCGCAGCAAAAUCAACCAAGGACCUCCCUACACUGACCACUCCCCUACUGCCCUUGCCCCUUUCGGGUAAGGUAGUCCUCCACUAGCUUUCCUAAUUAAUCAGCCAAGGGCGUCCAUAAACCCUUGUGGUAGCACUGUUUUCCCGGGUGGUCGCUCCAUGUUCCAAUUAACAUAAUGAUCUUAUCAUGGACAGUGAUAAUAAAUAGAUAAUAAAAGUGUGAUCAUGAAUAAUGUAUCUUCAUACCCAAAACAAUAUAAAGCACUAGCAAGUACUACCCAAAAAGUUCAGUGGUAAACAAGGUAUAAAGAUAGACAAACUAGGGUAACCUAUUGGGUCCCAUCAAAAUUAACCUAUGCAGAUCAUUAUGAUUAAUCAGAACAUGGCUGGGUAAAAAGAAGUGAUCAAGGGCACAACUUGCC